CCCUUAGAUGUCCGGGGCCGCACGCGCGCUACACUGAAGGAAUCAGCGUGGCUUUCUCCCUGACCCGAAAGGGUUGGGAAACCCGUUGAAUCUCCUUCGUGAUAGGGAUUGGGGCUUGAAAUUGUUCCCCAUGAACGAGGAAUUCCCAGUAAGCGCGAGUCAUAAGCUCGCGUUGAUUACGUCCCUGCCCUUUGUACACACCGCCCGUCGCUCCUACCGAUGAAUCGUCCGGUGAAGUUCAUGGAGUGGUGGUUGUUCCAGCUGCUGUCGAAGUGAAAUGGACCUCACGAUUUAGAGGAAGGAGAAGUCGUAACA
rnacentral:rRNA from 1 species